rnacentral:rRNA from 1 species
CUACGGGAGGCUGCAGUGGGGAAUAUUGCACAAUGGGCGCAAGCCUGAUGCAGCAACGCCGCGUGAACGAUGAAGGCCUUCGGGUUGUAAAGUUCUUUUCUUAGGGAAGAAUAAAUGACGGUACCUAAGGAAUCAGCCCCGGCUAACUACGUGCCAGCAGCCGCGGUAAUACGUAGGGGGCAAGCGUUAUCCGGAAUCACUGGGCGUAAAGGGAGUGUAGGCGGUCAAGCAAGUCAGGGGUGAAAGGCAUCGGCUCAACCGAUGUAAGCCUUUGAAACUGUUUGACUUGAGUGCAGGAGAGGUAAGUGGAAUUCCUAGUGUAGCGGUGAAAUGCGUAGAUAUUAGGAGGAACACCAGUGGCGAAGGCGACUUACUGGACUGUAACUGACGCUGAGGCUCGAAAGCGUGGGGAGCGAACAGGAUUAGAUACCCUAGUAGUC